rnacentral:rRNA from 1 species
CAGUCGAACGAGAGAAAGGAGCUUGCUUUUCUGAUCUAGUGGCGGACGGGUGAGUAACACGUGAGCAAUCUGCCUUUCAGAGGGGGAUACCGAUUGGAAACGAUCGUUAAUACCGCAUAACAUAAUUGAACCGCAUGAUUUGAUUAUCAAAGAUUUAUCGCUGAAAGAUGAGCUCGCGUCUGAUUAGCUAGUUGGUAAGGUAACGGCUUACCAAGGCGACGAUCAGUAGCCGGACUGAGAGGUUGAUCGGCCACAUUGGGACUGAGACACGGCCCAGACUCCUACGGGAGGCAGCAGUGGGGAAUAUUGCACAAUGGAGGAAACUCUGAUGCAGCGAUGCCGCGUGAGGGAAGAAGGUUUUAGGAUUGUAAACCUCUGUCUUCAGGGACGAAAAAAGACGGUACCUGAGGAGGAAGCUCCGGCUAACUACGUGCCAGCAGCCGCGGUAAUACGUAGGGAGCGAGCGUUGUCCGGAAUUACUGGGUGUAAAGGGAGCGUAGGCGGGAUCGCAAGUCAGAUGUGAAAACUAUGGGCUUAACCCAUAAACUGCAUUUGAAACUGUGGUUCUUGAGUGAAGUAGAGGUAAGCGGAAUUCCUAGUGUAGCGGUGAAAUGCGUAGAUAUUAGGAGGAACAUCAGUGGCGAAGGCGGCUUACUGGGCUUUAACUGACGCUGAGGCUCGAAAGCGUGGGGAGCAAACAGGAUUAGAUACCCUGGUAGUCCACGCCGUAAACGAUGAUUACUA